rnacentral:rRNA from 1 species
AACGUAGGACGCAAGCGUUAUCCGGAGUUACUGGGCGUAAAGCGCGCGCAGGCGGCUCGUCAAGCCUGACGUGAAAGCCCCCGGCUCAACCGGGGAGGGUCGUCGGGGACUGGCGGGCUUGAGGUCGGCAGGGGUUGGUGGAAUUCCCGGUGUAGUGGUGAAAUGCGUAGAGAUCGGGAGGAACACCCGUGGCGAAGGCGGCCAACUGGGCCGGACCUGACGCUGAGGCGCGAAGGCGUGGGGAGCGAACGGG